rnacentral:rRNA from 1 species
UGAGUUUGAUCAUGGCUCAGGAUGAACGCUAGCGAUAGGCUUAACACAUGCAAGUCGAGGGGCAUCACGAGGUAGCAAUACUUUGGUGGCGACCGGCGUACGGGUGCGUAACACGUAUGCAACCUUCCUGUAAGUGUGGGAUAGCCUCCUGAAAGGGAGAUUAAUACCUCAUGAUAUGUAUUUGCUGCAUGGCAUUUACAUUAAACAUUUAUGGCUUACAGAUGGGCAUGCGUUCCAUUAGGCAGUUGGUGUGGUAACGGCUCACCAAACCUACGAUGGAUAGGGGUUCUGAGAGGAAGGUCCCCCACACUGGAACUGAGACACGGUCCAGACUCCUACGGGAGGCAGCAGUGAGGAAUAUUGGUCAAUGGGCGCGAGCCUGAACCAGCCACGUCGCGUGAAGGAUGACGGCCUUAUGGGUUGUAAACUUCUUUUACAGGGGAAUAAAGUGAGUCACGUGUGAUUUUUUGCAUGUACCCUGUGAAUAAGCAUCGGCUAACUCCGUGCCAGCAGCCGCGGUAA